rnacentral:lncRNA from 10 species
UUUUUCUGAGACAGGGUCUCCCUCUGUUGUCCAAGGCUGGAGUGUAGUAGUGCUAUCGCAGCUGACUGCAGCCUCAACCUUCCAGGCUGAAGCGAUCCUCCCACCUCAACCUCCCACGUGGCUGAGACUACAGGUGCUUGCCACUAUGCCCAACUAACAUUUGGAAUUUUCGUAUACGUGGAUUCUAGAGGGGUGACAGCGAAACGUGGGACCAUCCAGUUGCAGGAAAACAAGCUUGACACGCCCACUAAUUCUACAUUAUGCUCCUACCUCCCGGCAGCCUCUCCAGGCCCAGAACUUUCUCCAGUCAGCCUCUACAGACCAAGCUCAUGACUCACAAUGGCCUAUUUAGGCCCAUACCCUACGUCACGGCAGCCUCCGCAGAUGAGGCUACUGCCUCACAACAGCCUCCACAGGCACAGCUCCAUCGUUACAAUGGCCUCUUUAGACCCAGCUCCUGCCUCCCAGCCUUCUCUCCAGGCCCUGAACUUUCUCAAGUCGACCUCACCAGGCCCAGCUCAUGCUUCUUUGCAGCCUCUCCAGGCCCAGCUCCUGCAUCUUGGU